rnacentral:sRNA from 1 species
CCGCCGGACACGCCGAACCGGGCACCGGCACGAGAGCCGGUACCCGGGCCGGGGACCCACCGCAGUCCUGGGGUGGAGCGCGAUCCGUCGCGCCGGGCGACUCCCCCGUCCGAACCCGUCAGCUAACCCGGUAGGCGGCCGUGGAGAACAGGA